AAACUAACACAACAUUGUGAAUCAACUAUACUUCAAGAAAAAAUAUAAGUUAAAACAAAAGAAACCAGUUCCAUUUACAACAGCAUAAAAAACACUAAGGACUCAAUUUAGUGAAGAGCAGAUGCAAAAUAAAAACUAAAAACAUCAUGGAAAGGAAUUAAAGAAGACCGAAGUAAAUAGAAAGACAUUUCAUGUUUGUGGAUUGGAAGACAUAAUAAAUAGCGUUAAGAUGACAACGUUCCCCAGAUUGAGCUACACAUUCAGCGCAAGCCCUAUCAAAAUCUCAGCUCCCGAAAAUGCUUUAAAGUUAGUGGUGAGGGUUGCACCACUUUGUGAAUGUUCCCCAAAUCACUGAAUCGUACACUUGAAAAGAAUGAAUGUUAUGUUAUGUGAAUGAUAUUCCAAUAAAGCUGUUGUAGAAAAAAAUAAGGGGUCAGGUUCCUGUAUCUUGUUUUUUGAAAAAUUCUAUCAUGAAACAAGUCGCAGUGUCGGCCUUGGUAGCCCUGGGUGGGUCUGGGAGUGGCUUCCUCCUCCGUGAGUCCCGUGUUCCGUAGUUGGAUUGUGGACUGUGCCGUGUGGCGCUGUGCCCAUGUCCGGCCUGUGUCAGUGAAUGGCUUUCAGCUGUCGGCCCUCACCCUGCAGGCACCCCGACAGGCGUCAGGCCCCAGAGGGGCAAGGAGAGGCUUUGAGACGAUGUCGGCCUGCCAGGUGGGUUGGACCUGGGCAGUUUGGAGGGCCAGCCCUCCAGAUGGAGACUGUGCUGGACAGAUGGCACAGGUGACACUGGGACACCUGGGCUUGCCUGAUUCUCAGUCAUGGUUCUUCAUACGGCUGCAGCUCUGGAUAGAGACCUCACAGCCCCUGGGCACUCUGGGUAUCAGGAGUGUCCUGCAUAGCCACCACGGUGCAGUUAUCUUCGUGGGGCUGCUUUCUCCACCUCAUGAGUCUAUUUCUUCUGGUGCCUUCUGAAGGCUGAGUUGACCAGAGGGAACCACAGAAAUUCAGAAAUUGCUCCCAAACUCUUAGCCUUGGCAGUGAGAAAUUUAAAAUGCCGUGUGGUUAGCACACUUUUGAUUGUAAAGUGAGGAUCUCCCCAAACUGAAAGCUCCAGAGGUUUAAACUGCAACAGUGACGUCUGUCAUGGGGAUAUGCAGAUGAAAUUUAAAGAUGAGGAAUGGAGCUCACCUUUGGAGUAGAAGGAAAUUGAAGUCACACAGAAUAGCUUGGUCCUUAAUGAUAAAGAUUGCUAAUAGGGGCUGUUCAUUCGCUCGACAAAUCCUGUUUUCAUUCCUAAUUGGUUGAGAGCAUGGACGCUGGAGCCAGACCACCUGGGCACCACCUGUGCCUCUUCGUCAUCUGUGAAAUGGGGGUAAUAAUACACCUACCUUAUAGGGUUGUUGUUGGGGGAAGGCUGAAUGACAUGUAAAGCACUGAGAACAGUGCCCUGCACCUCGUAAUGCUCAGGAAACGUUAACUAUCUUUAUUAUUGUGUUUACUCCCUGUCACAUAGACUUGGUAACGGCUGGGAGAGUGGAAGCCAUCGCCGCAACACUCUGCAAGCUCAGUCUCCUCCCCCGGCCCCGAGUCCAGGCAUACUCUAUACAUGAGUUUGCUGUGCUUCUGCACCGGGGCUAAUCUGGGCCUUGCCAACGUCCCUUUCAUCUGAGUCAGUUGCCCUUCAUCAGUCUUGGGGUCCUAAACUCUACGGUUGGACCCAAGAAUGCAGUAGAGCCCAGUACCUUCUGCCCCAAACACCACCCUCGGGCUCCCCAGGCUCCCAGAGGCUGCUCUAAGUUCCCUCUGCUUCUUAGUGCUGUGGAGUCAGGACAAGGGAGAGUUUGGAUGGACCUUAAUUUGCUUUCCUGGUCUCUGCCUCUUGAGUAUUCGGUUGUCAACAUUGCAUAGACUCUGGGGCCAAGCUGCCUGGGUUUAGAUUCUGUUCUGCUGCUUCUUUUGUGUGUGAAGUCCUGAGCCUACAUUACCUGUUUUCCAUUUUCAAAUGGAGAUAAUAACGAUGCAUCUGUUCUGCUGGAUCAGAGGAUGGAGCGCUGCAAUUUAAUUAGCCAUUGAGGACAUUAACAUGACAACUGUCACAGAAAGGGGCAUUGUGACCCCAGAGGAUCAUGUCAGUUCUGAGCAUCAAAACCUGAAAUGAAAGAAGAUGAAUCCCAGGAUCUACCCUUUUAAGAUACUUAUUUUACGAUGCCACUGGCAUUUCAUGGGCAACAACACAGUUCUUGAUGUUCUGCGGUGCGAAGGCUAUGAGGUAGAACACGCCCCCGCUGGACGACCCAUCAACAAAGCUAGGGGAUUUGGAGAGAGUACAAUGAAGGUGUGUGAGGGAGAAACAAAGGCGUCAAAGUGAUCACUUUUCGAGAGAAAAGACCAGAAACCGGUUGUCACAGCCCACCCCCUCUGCCGUCUUGGCUCCGGAAGCGCCCGCCCCGGAAGCUCAGGUACCGGAAGCUGGGUCUGCCGGGCCCCCACUGUUGCCGCUCCACCAGCCUCUGCCCAGAAGUUCCUACCUGCCGGGCGAGGCACGACGAAAGUUCCGGAAGAAGCAGAGGCGGCCGCAGCGGAGGCAGCGGCUCUGGCAGUUCAGCGACCUGUGAGUCCGACUGGAGGAGAGCCCUUUCUCCACCGCAGAUCAGGGAGACGCUCAUAGCUUUCCGGAGCUGGAAGCACCUCUGUAGGAAUGGGCUUGUUCAGCCCCUACGUUUUGCAGGGAGCAUGGUGACCACAGAAUGUGCACUUGCAGAGAUGCCCAGUGGGUGGAUCAGAGGUGGGUAGAGGAGCCAAAGAUGGGGACCCAGCCUGGUUUCUGCUGGAAGAACUACACCAGAGAGGCCUGGGAUCCAGGCUACAGUUCAAUUUAUACCAAACUUUUUGAGUUCUUCCUAUGUGCCCGCUGUUGUGUUGGUGCUGUGGCUUUGGGGGUGAACCAGACCGACACUGGCCCUGCCUUCAUGGAGCUCACAGUCUGGGGAGGAAGCUGGAUUUUGAGUUGAUUAUUCACAAGGGGAGUGUAGGGGGCUGCGGGGACGUGCGUUGUGUGUGUUUGUGUGUUGGACAUUACUACCUAACUUAGGGUGGCGGGUGUCAGGAAGGGCCUCCUGGAGGAAGCGACCUUUUGGUUGCUGCUGAGUAGAAGCCUGACAAAGUGGAGCCCAAUGAAGAGAGCUCCUGAGUCUGGAUCAGGAGAUGCAGGCAUCUGAUACCUGCAUAGGUGCUUAAUAAUGAAUGUUGAAUGAAUGUGUAAACAACUGAACAGGGAGGGGCGGGAGUUCCCAGCAAGGGGAACAGUGCAAAAGCCUGAUGUGGAGAGAGUGAUCAUGUUAAAGGAACCAAGAUGAAGUAAUUCUGGCUGGAGCCUGGGAGGUCAGUGGGAAGAGGGGUGAGGUAGGUCUAGAAGGUAAAUUGGAUGGAAUGACUGUGAGAAUCUCAUGCCUGAGAGAAGUAGGGUGCCACUGAAAGGUUUGAGGCAGGCAUCCCGUGUGCUGUGGGGUUUGCAUUUUUAAAUGGACAGAAGCUGGCAGCCAGAUGUGACCUGGAGAGCAGGGACAGAUCCUGUUGGUGUCCAUGUGCCCCAUGGUGCCUGACACGGGGAGGCUCCUCAACCAUCCUUCACUGAUGGAGGAAUACACUGACCUGUUUAGUACCUUCUCAGUCUGGGCCAUUUCCUUUCAAGGUGGCCAUGCAGGGAUUGGGCACUUUACACCAGAGCUGAGCUGAAAGGACCAGGUGAGACCGCGCUUGUUCUGUCUUGACCUGGGAAGGCUGCGUGGUGUUCGCAUGACACCCAAGCUGGGGUAGGGGAGAGAGCCAGAGACCCGGAGAGGAAUCCUCCUGGCUUGGCGGUGCCGCUCUGUGUGGUCAGGGAGGAGGGUCCCUGCUUGACAUUGCCCAGAGGCUGAUAAUUAGCAAGUCUGAGCAAACUAAUUUUAAUAAUCCUUGAACCAAGAAGCAAAUAGCUGGGGGAGAGUUGUUCAGUGUGCUAGUCUUCGUGCCUGUAUCAUUUGGUUUUGUUGUAGCAGUAGUCAUGAGGGCCAAGACGUAGGAAAUCUGUUAACGUACUAAGAUACAUUCCUGUCUUUGGAGGAGAGAGGUGAGAAGGAGCUGUGCAGGCCUUUGGGGGCCUCGGAGUAUCCAGUGGCUCUUGCUGUGCCCUGAGACUCUGUCUUUCUUUGCCUCCAAAUGCUGGGAUCCCACAGCUCCAGGUCCCCGUUCUGGACAGGCGCAUCUCCGCAGAGCUGCGGCUCCCUCGCCCUGGGCAGUCUCCCCACAGUCAGAUGGUGGUCAGCAGUGCCUGCCUGUCUGUCUGGACACCUAUGUUAUGGGUGCUGGUGCUGGCUUUCCAAACAGAGACAACCCUCCUGUAAUGACCAGAGAAGCCAAGACCUGACGCCUUGGACUUGAAGGACAGCCAUUUUGUACUCCACACUGUGCUCUGGCCCUGAUAGGCCCAACCCAGGAGAAGAGACUCAAAAUUAAAAAGCCAACGUUGAUUCUUCUUUUUCCAAGGAAUGACUUUGGGUUAUCCAGCAAUGCUUGGGGGAGGUGUAUAGUUUUGUAACAUAAUGAGCUGUAUGAAAAUAAUUAAUUGUAAGAAAAUUAUUAAAUACUUUUUUUGUGUA